rnacentral:rRNA from 1 species
CCUACGGGUGGCAGCAGUGAGGAAUAUUGGUCAAUGGCCGGAAGGCUGAACCAGCCAUGCCGCGUUAAGGUCAGUGCCCUAUGGGCGUUACACUUCUUUUGUGCGGGAGCAAUAAUGGUCACGUGUGGCCAGACUAGAGUACCUUACGAAUAAGCAUCGGCUAACUCCGUUCCAGACGCCGCGGUAAUACGGGGGAUGCAGGCGUUAUCCGGAUUGAUUGGUUUUAAAGUGGGCGUAGUCUUGGAGUUAAGUCAGCGGUGAAAUGCCCCCGCGCAACGGGGUGAAGUGCCAUGGAGACGGCCUUGAUGGAAGGCGGAUGCCGUGGGAGGAAUGUGUGGUGUAGCGGUGAAAUGCAUAGAUAUCACUCAGAACACCGAUUGCGAAGGCAUCUCACGAAGCCGCGAUUGACGCUGAUGCACGAAAGCGUGGGUAUCAAACAGGAUUAGAUACCCCUGUAGUC